rnacentral:rRNA from 1 species
GUCGAGCGAGAACCGGGGCUUCGGCCCCGGGGACAGCGGCGAACGGGUGAGUAACACGUGGAUAACCUGCCCUCGGCACCGGGAUAGCCCGGGGAAACUCGGAUUAAUACCGGAUGGCCCUUCCGACCUUCGGGUCGGUCGGGAAAGGUAGCUUCGGCCUCUGGCCGGGGAUGGGUCCGCGGCGGAUUAGCUUGUUGGUGGGGUAACGGCCCACCAAGGCGACGAUCCGUAGCUGGUCUGAGAGGACGAUCAGCCACACUGGGACUGAGACACGGCCCAGACUCCUACGGGAGGCAGCAGUGGGGAAUCUUGCGCAAUGGGCGAAAGCCUGACGCAGCGACGCCGCGUGAGGGAAGACGGCCUUCGGGUUGUAAACCUCUUUCAGGAGGGACGAAGCUACUCGGGUGAAUAGCCCAGAGGGUGACGGUACCUCCAGAAGAAGCCCCGGCUAACUACGUGCCAGCAGCCGCGGUAAUACGUAGGGGGCAAGCGUUGUCCGGAUUUACUGGGCGUAAAGAGCGUGUAGGCGGCCAGACAGGUCUGUUGUGAAACUGGAGGCUCACCUCCGACGUCGACGAAACCGUCUGGCUGAGUCCGGAAGAGAGAGUGGAAUUCCUGGUGUACGGUGAAUGCCAGAUUCAGGAAGACACCAUGGCGAGGGGCUCUGUGGAGGACUGACCUAAGAGCGAACCUGGGGAGCGAACAGAUUGAUACCUGGUGUCCACCCGUAACGAAGGUGUUGUGCGGAGGUUCACUCUUCCGUCCGCCCUACGCAUAAGCCCCCGCCUGGAGUCGGCCCAUGCUAACUCAAGGAUUGACGGGG